CCACUCACACUAUCCCCUACACCUUCUCGGAAGCUGCAAAUGUUGUUCGAAACGCACCUAAACCGCACGCCCACCUAUAAAGAGCCCACAAUUCCCUCCCACCCCCUUCCAUCUCCUCAACCAUUUUCCUCACACAGCUCGUAGUUUGAAUCCAAAUUCAUCUUUUUCAUUCCUUCUUCUUCUGCAGUUUCAUACCGAUAUCUUGAAGAUGAAUUCCAUGAGAUCUUACGCUUUCUCAGUCAUUGGCUUUGUGUUCUCUGCGCUUUUGCUGCUAUCACAAGCUCAGACCUUGGCUCCUUCUCCGGCACCCGAGGGUCCAAUCAGCGAUGGCUCGGCGAUAGAUCAAGGGAUUGCCUACGUUCUUCUACUUGUGGCCCUUGCAAUCACAUACCUAGUCCAUUGAUUUCCCUUAUCUCUUGGUGCUUCAACUUGCUGAUCUUUUUCAUAUAAAUUCUUUAUGUAUUUUCUCCUCUGAUUAAUAAGGAGAACUUGCAGCAAUUUUUAUUGGCCUUUUUGGUUCUUGUAAUGUAAGGAGAUCGAUUGCAAUAAAGUGUUUGAUCAUUUUUACAUAUUUAA